rnacentral:rRNA from 1 species
AUGAUGGAGCAGCAGCACACACGGGAUCCUCUGUGCCGCCCGUGGCUGGCUCCUCACGCGCUGAAGCCGCAGAAGAUCCCGGCGCGGGAGCAGGUACUGGAACAGCACCAGGUGCAUCCUCCUCGGGAUCAGAUGCGGGAUCUCCUGCGCCACGAGCUGGUGCAGUCUCGCCUGUGCAACCACGCACUCGUCUCCAAAAAAGGGGUAAUUCAACAUGUUAAUUAUAAAACAAAGUUUGGCUUGGCUUGUUCCUCCACAGGUGAACCUAGUACGGUUGAAGAGGCGCUGAAUGACCCACGUUGGAGGAAGGCAAUGGAAGAAGAGUAUUCGGCAUUGAAGAAAAAUAAAAUGUGGCAUCUAGUACCUCCACGACGAGGUAAAAAUCUCAUUGAUUGCAAAUGGGUGUUUCGCAUUAAAAGAAAGUCUGACGGAUCUAUAGAUCGUUACAAAGCAAGACUUGUUGCAAAGGGUUUCAAACAACGGUACGGCAUAGACUAUGAGGACACAUUUAGUCAUGUUGUUAAAGCUGCCACCAUUCGUCUUGUGUUGUCUGUUGCUGUUUCCAGGGGAUGGAGUCUCAGACAAUUAGAUGUGCAGAAUGCGUUCCUUCAUGGCAUUCUGGAAGAGGAAGUAUAUAUGAAGCAACCUCCUGGGUUUGUGAACAAAAACUCACCACUGCAUGCGUGCAAACUUGAUAAAGCUUUAUAUGGCUUGAAGCAAGCUCCCAGGGCGUGGUACUCACGUCUAAAUCAGAAACUGCUCUUGAAGGAUCUAAGUGCUGAGUUUGCUCUGAAGGAUCUAGGAGACUUACAUUUCUUCCUAGGGAUUGAGGUAAAGAAACAUGAAGAUGGCCUUCAUCUCUCUCAGGAAAAAUAUGCUACUGAUCUGGUUAGAAGAGUUGGUCUUCAAGGAUGCAAACCUUCACCAACACCCUUGUCUAGUUCAGAGAAACUCUCACUUACAGAAGGAGAACCCUUGAAUCAAGAGGACAAUACAAACUACAGAAGUCUGGUAGGAGCACUUAAGUACUUGACUCUGACAAGACCUGAUAUUUCAUUUGCUAUUAACAAAGUAUGCCAAUUUCUUCAUGCACCCACUACAGUUCAUUGGACUACUGCUAAACGUAUAGUAAGAUAUGUGAAAAAUAUUAUGAAUCUUGGUCUUACUUUCAGCAAAUCUUCAUCUACCCUAGUCAGUGCUUUCUCAGAUUCUGAUUGGGCAGGAUGCAUAGAUGACAGACGCUCUACUGGUGGGUUUGCAAUAUUUUUUGGACCAAAUCUAAUAUCAUGGUGUGCAAAGAAACAGGCUACUGUAUCAAGGUCAAGCAUAGAAGCUGAGUACAAGGCACUUGCAAAUGCUACAGCAGAAAUUAUUUGGGUACAGUCUAUGUUAAAGGAACUUGGUAUAAAGAGUACCAAAGCUCCGUGCUUAUGGUGUGAUAAUCUUGGUGCCACCUACCUAUCUGCAAAUCCAGUGUUUCAUGCAAGAACGAAGCAUAUUGAGAUUGAUUUCCACUUUGUCAGAGAAAGAGUUGCAAAUCAGCAGUUAGACAUUCGGUUUGUGCAUUCCAGAGAUCAAGUUGCAGACGGUUUCACAAAAUCGCUGCCUACAAGAAGUUUUGAAGAAUUCAAGCGAAAUCUCAACAUGACAAAGUUGUGA